ACAACAAUAUCAUUUUUUGGUGCAAGAUGCAUGCAUUUUGCUUAAAAGGGAAGCCGGUUCAAGUCCGGCGCGGUCCCGCCACUGUAAUAGGGAGUUUUAUAGAAAUGUCACUGUCCAACGGAUGGGAAGACCUAUAAAAUGAUGAACUAGAGCCAGGAGACCUGCCAAAAAAAGUGUGAUCGU
rnacentral:ncRNA from 1 species